GCGGAAGGAUCAUUAUUGAACAAACCGGUGUUGGCUGAGCUGGCCUCUUCGGAGGCAUGUGCACGGCCCACCAUUGUUUCAUCCUUCUCUUCCACCUGUGCACUUCUGUGGGCCCACUCCAGCACACCUUGUGCGCUGGAAUCUGGUGCCUACGCUUCACUACCCACACCAUUGAAUGUUAAGAACGCAUGAAUAGGGCAUCUUGCCCAUAAAACCUUAUACAACUUUCAACAACGGAUCUCUUGGCUCUCGCAUCGAUGAAGAACGCAGCGAAAUGCGAUAAGUAAUGUGAAUUGCAGAAUUCAGUGAAUCAUCGAAUCUUUGAACGCACCUUGCGCUCCUUGGUAUUCCGAGGAGCAUGCCUGUUUGAGUGUCAUUAAAUCAUCAACCACCUCAUCUUUUGAGAGGGUUGGACUUGGAGGUUCUGCUGGCCCCGCUCUCUGGGACCGGCUCCUCUGAAAUGCAUUAGCAGGGGCUCAUCUUGGCGAUCUGCAGCCUAGUGUGAUAGUCAUAUCUACACUUGGAGAGGUCCCAUUCACCCAGCUUCCAGCCGUCCGCUUGCGUGGACAACACUUGACCACUUGACCUCAAAUCAGGUAGGACUACCCGCUGAACUUAAGCAUAUCAU
rnacentral:rRNA from 1 species